UUCUGUUAGUGAUGAAGUUUAAAUAGAUGGGAAUCUCUCUGAGAGAGAAUGAAGCUUAAUUUCAAACUGAAACAGUA
ensembl:snoRNA SNORD79 Small nucleolar RNA SNORD79